rnacentral:rRNA from 1 species
UAGCCAUGCCAGUUAUGGGGCGCCUUGCGCUUGCCGGCGGACGGCUCAGGAACACGUCGGUAACCUACCCUCGGGAGGGGGAUAACCCCGGGAAACUGGGGCUAAUCCCCCAUAGGCUUGAUGUACUGGAAGGCCCUCAGGGCGAAUGGGGCUUCUGCUCGCCCGAGGAUGGGCCGGCGGCCGAUUAGGUAGUUGGUGGGGUAACGGCCCACCAAGCCGAAGAUCGGUACGGGCCAUGAGAGUGGGAGCCCGGAGAUGGACACUGAGACACGGGUCCAGGCCCUACGGGGCGCAGCAGGCGCGAAACCUCCGCAAUGCGGGAAACCGCGACGGGGGGACCCCCAGUGCCGUGGCAUCGCCACGGCUUUUCCGGAGUGUAAAGAGCUCCGGGAAUAAGGGCUGGGCAAGGCCGGUGGCAGCCGCCGCGGUAAUACCGGCGGCCCGAGUGGUGGCCGCUAUUAUUGGGCCUAAAGCGUCCGUAGCCGGGCCCGUAAGUCCCUGGCGAAAUCCCACGGCUCAACCGUGGGGCUUGCUGGGGAUACUGCGGGCCUUGGGACCGGGAGAGGUCGGGGGUACCCCUGGGGUAGGGGUGAAAUCCUAUAAUCCCAGGGGGACCGCCAGUGGCGAAGGCGCCCGGCUGGAACGGGUCCGACGGUGAGGGACGAAGGCCAGGGGAGCGAACCGGAUUAGAUACCCGGGUAGUCCUGGCUGUAAAGGAUGCGGGCUAGGUGUCGGGCGAGCUUCGAGCUCGCCCGGUGCCGAAGGGAAGCCGUUAAGCCCGCCGCCUGGGGAGUACGGCCGCAAGGCUGAAACUAAAGGAAUGGCGGGG